rnacentral:rRNA from 1 species
GACGAACGCUGGCGGCGUGCUUAACACAUGCAAGUCGAACGAUGAAGCAAAGAAUCGAAGCUUCGGCAGAAAUUCAUUUCGGAUUAGUGGCAGACGGGUGAGUAACGCGUGAGCAACCUACCUCUUACAAAGGGAUAGCCUCGGGAAACCGGGAUUAAUACCAUAUAACAUUGUGACGAAGCAUUUCGAUGCAAUCAAAGCUACGGCGGUAAGAGAUGGGCUCGCGUCCCAUUAACCGGAUGGUGAGGUAACGGCUCACCAUAGUGACGAUGGGUAACCGGGCUGGGAGGGUGAACGGUCACACUGGAACUGAGACACGGUCCAGACUCCUACGGGAAGCAGCAGUGGGGAAUAUUGCACAAGGGAGGGAACUCUGAUGCAGCGACGCCGCGUGAGUGAUGAAGGAAUUCGUUUCGUAAAACUCUGUUCUAUGGGAAGAAAAGGACUGUACCAUAGGAGAAAGCUCCGGCUAAAUACGUG